UUUUUCCUGUAAUACAAAAUGAAAUUUAAUCGACGAACAUUAAAAAAAGUUCCAGAUAAUUGCAAAUAAAUUGCAUAUUUACUUCAUGAGGCAUCUCAAAAAGAAAAACGUGAAGCUUUUACUGUUGUAAACAAGAGUUGUAAAUGGAAGUUUAAAAAGAAUAAAUCUGUGACAAAAAGAACGUAAGAAAAAAAAAAAAAAAACCCGCCUGGACUAAAGCAGGGCUCUCCAUGUGAAGGCUGCACCGUCCUCUCACAUUCCAGCGCGUCGCAAAAAGGGGGAUUUAGAGCGACUUAUUUCCUUAAAACUGUCCUCCCAUCCACAGAGCCAGCCAGUCUGCUCCCAUCAGCCUCAUACAGGCCUGCACCAAAAAAAUUCACCCACUAUAUUUCCAGGGGAAUUCCCACCGAGAGACACCGAGCAGCCGAGGACUUGCAGGCUAUGCCGGACCUGCAGUGUGCACACACUCAGGAAGGAGGAUAAAUGCAAGAAGAAGAAAAAAAAAAAAAGGCAGAUACACACAGGCCUGUGGUGCAGCUGGAGACAAGACGAGCGACUUUCACCUAUUUCAGCUGAAACGAUUUCUGCAAGAAGAAGACGUGACAGAGGAUGAGAGACUUCUGGAUAUGAAGAUUCUGAUCAGAGGAAGCGGCUGUGUUGGAUCAUAACCCUGGAUUUCUUUUAACAACCGACCUGAGAUCUGAUAGAGCAAAAGUUUUGCCUGUUUGGAGGACAGGAGCUGCACCACACUCAGGAGUUCGCCAACAAACAAAUGGAUCGCAAUUAAACACACUCGCCUUCAGAUCAUCAAUGAGGAGGCAAAGUCAAGACUGGCAGAAAACCGACAAGGACAAAUAAAAGGCGGGAGAAGACUGUGCUGCCUCAAGGUUAACACUGACUGAAUGAACUGUGUGAAGAGCUCAUCUACACACAAUCUGGAUAGUUCUUGCUUCUUCUACAAGGACACAUCACAAACUGUUUGUCAUUGUAAAUCUCAUUUUACAACUUAAUGUGUUAAUUGUUAUAUUUUAGUAUCUUUGCUGCAAAAUUAAACCAAGUUUAUUUAUUCUCACAUUUCUGUUUCUUUUCUGUCUCAGAAUUAAUUAAAGAUUAAUUUGCAAAUAAAGACAUCUACGUUGAUAUCAUUAUCAAACCACCACUCCGCUCUCCGUCUCCCGCUCUCCCCUCACCUAGCCAUCAGUAGCCUUCUCCUCUGUGUGCUGAGGUGUCUGCAUGGCGUGGUAAAACCUGCCCUGCAGACCGGACCUCUCAAGUCUUCAAAGGAGGAAGAACUCAAUGUGGGGGAUUUGUUCAGGCUUAUUUGGUAACCUAGGAUUUGAAUUGGAUUCUGGGAGGCAUUCAUAACACAUUUGAAAAUGUUACAUUGUGUGAUUUUGUGUGUAAUCCCCAUAAUAAAUUUUAGAAAU